CGGCCUCGUGGAUGGACCAGGAGCUCGAUGUUCCUUAAGGCCGUUCUUUCCGACCCAUCCAAGGUUCCGCCGCCUACAUUGUUCCAAGAGUGUCUUGGACGUAAGCAGGAAGUGGAACCUUGUUAAGGUCGGAACGAACUGCCUUAGGGAAGUCGAUGCUCCAGGUCCGUCCACGAGGACG
rnacentral:pre_miRNA from 1 species